rnacentral:rRNA from 1 species
ACGGAGGGUGCAAGCGUUAUUCGGAAUUACUGGGCGUAAAGCGCGUGUAGGCGGUCCUGCAAGUGUGAUGUGAAAGCCCCGGGCUUAACCCGGGAAGGGCAUUGGAAACUGUGGGACUUGAGUACAGGAGAGGAUGGGGGAAUUCCAGGUGUAGAGGUGAAAUGCGUAGAGAUUAGGAGGAACACCAGUGGCGAAGGCGCCUUUCUGGACGGUAACUGACGCUGAGGCGCGAAAGCGUGGGGAGCAAACAG